AUUGAACGCUGGCGGCAUGCUUUACACAUGCAAGUCGAACGGCAGCGCGGGCUUCGGCCUGGCGGCGAGUGGCGAACGGGUGAGUAAUACAUCGGAACGUGCCCCGUAGGGGGGGAUAGCUCGGCGAAAGCCGGAUUUAUACCCCCUACGACCUGAGGGUGGAAGCGGGGGGUCUUCGGAACUCCCGCCUUUGGGGCGGCCGAUGGCCGAUUAGCUAGUUGGUGGGGUAAAGGCCUACCAAGGCGACGAUCUGUAGCUGGUCUGAGAGGACGACCAGCCACACUGGGACUGAGACACGGCCCAGACUCCUACGGGAGGCAGCAGUGGGGAAUUUUGGACAAUGGGCGAAAGCCUGAUCCAGCAAUGCCGCGUGUGUGAUGAAGGCCUUCGGGUUGUAAAGCACUUUUGGCCGGAACGAAAAGGACUGUGCCAAUACCACGGUUCGAUGACGGUACCCGCAGAAUAAGCACCGGCUAACUACGUG
rnacentral:rRNA from 1 species